rnacentral:misc_RNA from 1 species
UCACCGCUUGCGCGGGCAGUCUCAUUAGAGUCCCCAGCAUGACCUGUUGGCAACUAAUGAUAGGGGUUGCGCUCGUUACGGGACUUAACCCAACACCUCACGACACGAGCUGACGACAGCCAUGCAGCACCUGUCACUCAUCCAGCCGAACUGAAGGGAUCCAUCUCUGGAACCCGCGAUGAGGAUGUCAAACGCUGGUAAGGUUCUGCGCGUUGCUUCGAAUUAAACCACAUGCUCCACCGCUUGUGCAGGCCCCCGUCAAUUUCUUUGAGUUUUAACCUUGCGGCCGUACUCCCCAGGCGGAUGACUUAACGCGUUAGCUGCGCCACCGAAACGCUAAGCGCCCCGACAGCUGGCAUUCAUCGUUUACGGCGUGGACUAC